UGGCCUACGGGGCGCAGCAGUGAGGAAUAUUGGUCAAUGGGCGCGAGCCUGAACCAGCCAAGUCGCGUGAGGGAGGACGGCCCUACGGGUUGUAAACCUCUUUUGCCGGGGAGCAACGGGCGUCACGUGUGGCGCCACUGAGAGUACCCGGAGAAAAAGCAUCGGCUAACUCCGUGCCAGCAGCGGCGGUAAUACGGAGGAUGCGAGCGUUAUCCGGAUUUAUUGGGUUUAAAGGGUGCAUAGGCGGAUCGUUAAGUCAGUGGUCAAAUUGAGGGGCUCAACCCCUUCCCGCCAUUGUAAAUGGG
rnacentral:rRNA from 1 species